rnacentral:SRP_RNA from 1 species
CGCCGCAGCGGGUCAGGACCGGAAGG